ensembl:lncRNA
AAAUCCUUCAAAAACACAUUGUCAAAUAUGAGAAGACACUAGCAGAUGAUGAUGUUUGACCCAAAUAUAAACCGCACUUCAUAUGCCAGGAUGCACAAACGGUGGAUAAAAAAUUAAUGAUGCAGUUACAUGGUAGAAAAGCAAGGGUUUAAGCAGGUGGUUAAAAACUUGGAAAGGUAGAAAAUGUGUUUCAAUUUCAAUGUUAUUAUGUGACAACACCGGUUAAGCCCCUUCAGUUAUUGUUAAGCUAAGUGUGAAGUGUUAAACAGUCAUUUUAUACUUUCACUUCAAAUUUCCAAAGAAAACACUGCCUACACUAGGCCGCUUUUGUAUAUUGAUAUCAAUGAGUUGCCAAUGAGUUGCCAUGACAAUAACUAAUUGAAAAAGGGCGGAAAAUGCCCUUAAUUUUAUUUGUGCUAAACAAAAAAAAUUCUACUGCCUGUCCUAUAAAUCAUUGUUCAGUUUUUUUAUUAUGUGUUAUUAUUAUUAUAAUUAUUUUUUUUUUUUUUUACAGAUUUUUCACAAAUUUCCUAGAGGCAUCAUUUGCAGCUGUAUGGCUUACCUCUACUAACAAACCAAUAAAUUGUUAUUUAAGAUACUGACAAAGAAAUUAGGCAAGCAGCUGCACUGCCUUUUAGAAUUUACUCAACCUAGGGGAUGACGUGCUGUAGCGCAUUAUGUUAGGACAGCUCAAUCACUGUGAUUAUUAUUCAGAUCCACUUGUGUGCUCCAGUUAACAAUAUUAUGCUAUUAAUCCAUCCAUCCAUCCAUUCGCUACCGCUUAUCCUUUUCAGGGUCAUGGGGGGUGCUGGAGCCAAUCCCAGCUGUCAUAGGGCGAGAGGCGGGGUACACCCUGGACAGGUCGCCAGUCUGUCGCAAGGCUAACACACAAGGACAGACAACCAUUCAUACUCACAUUCACUCACAGAUUCACACCUAGUGACAAUUUGGAUUAUCCAAUUAACCUAUCCCCACAAACUGCAUGUCUUUGGACGGUGGGAGGAAGCCGGAGUACCCGGAGGGAACCCACGCAGACACGGGGAGAACAUGCAAACUCCACAC